rnacentral:sRNA from 1 species
CCUAGUAAGUACAAGUCACUAGCUUGUGCUGAUUACGUCCCUGCCCUUUGUACACACCGCCCGUCGCUACUACCGAUUGAAUGGCUUAGUGAGGCCCUCGGAUUGAGGCUCGGAGACUGGAAACAGACUCUUGGUUUUAAAAAGUUGGUCAAACUUGGUCAUUUAGAGGAAGUAAAAGUCGUAACAAGGUUUCCGUAGGUAAACCUGCGGAAGGAUCAUUACCGAUUUUUAGCGAACCUGACCUUUGGUUAUGGUCUCGCGAAAACUUUAUAUUUAAAACCCCACUCAUAAAAAAAAAAAAAAUUUUUCAUAUAAAUAAAUAAAGAUCACUUUCAACAACGGAUCUCUUGGCUCUCGCAUCGAUGAAGAACGUAGCGAAGUGCGAUAAGUAAUGUGAAUUGCAAAUUCUGUGAAUCAUCGAAUUUUUGAACGCAAAUUGCACUCCUUGGUAUUCCGAGGAGUAUGCUUGUUUGAGGGUUGUUCCAAUAAAAUCGUUUUUUAUAAAAACGGAUCUGAGUUUUCCGAGAUUUCACGAUCUUGGUAACUUUAAAUUUAUCUUAACGAUAUCUCUGGUAUGAUAUUGAAAAUGGUUAUAUUCUUACAUAUCGUGAGUUUCAUUGACAAUCGAUUACCUGUCGUUACGUCGUAUCAUUUGCCUGAUCCUUUCGAUUGGGCCCUAUGAUACAAUUUUUCUUUCAACACCUCAAGUCAAGUAAGAAUACCCGCUGAACUUAAGCAUAUCAAUAAGCGGAGGAAAAGAAAAUAACAAUGAUUCCCCUAGUAACUGCGAGUGAAGAGGGACAAGCUCAAAUUUUAAAUCUGUCGGGUUUUACCCGAUCGAGUUGUAAUUUGAAGAAGCGUUUUCUGCGUAUUUGGUCAGCCCAAGUCCUAUUGAAUGAGGCAUCAUGGAGGGUGAUAAUCCCGUCCGGUUGAUCAUUGCGUUUUAUGAUACGCUUUCUAAGAGUCAAGUUGUUUGGGAUUGCAGCUUAAAAUGGGAGGUAAAUUUCUCCUAAGGCUAAAUAAUGGCGAGAGACCGAUAGCGAACAAGUACCGUGAGGGAAAGAUGAAAAGAACUUUGAAAAGAGAGUUAAAUAGUACGUGAAAUUGUUGAAAGGGAAACGAUUGAAGUCAGUCAUGCUCGUGAGGAAUCAACUUGAUGGUGUGUGGGUUCUCUCGCAUACUUUCCGGUGCACUUCCUCGCUCGGCAGGUUAGCAUCAAUUUCGGUUAUCAUAAAAAAUUUGAGGGAAUGUGGCUUUCCUUCGGGAAAGUGUUAUAGACCUUGAUCUAUGUGGUGACCGGGAUUGAGGAUUGCAGCGGAUACCCUCGUGGCUUGUCACCUGGCUUCUGACAGUUACCUCGCUUUCGACAGCUUGCUAACGUUAGUGGGACACGAUUGUCUAGAUGUUAGAUUGACUCUAUUUCGCUAAGGAUGCUGACGUAAUGGCUUUAAACGACCCGUCUUGAAACACGGACCAAGGAG